UCGCCAGCCCUUGUCGGCCAAGACGUUCCUCAGCAACGUCCUCAAGGUGUUGUGGAUCGACAUAUUGCGGCUUGCCCUAUGUACUCUGGCUUACUUCUCUUGCAUCUUCGCCAGAGUUCCCGCGCUGGAGCUUCUGAUCCGGACAAGCGGCACAAGUGGCCGAACGAUAGCGUCGCUGCUCUUCAUGGUGACCUGCGUGGGGGAGUGGCUCAUCUCUUCCUACCACAUGGAGUUACUGCUUUUCACCGGCUGUCGCCUCAGGUCACUUUUACAGGGAAUCGUCUUCAUAAAGGCAACGCUGCAGUCUCCUGCGUCGGCCCAGCCCGUUGGGUACGUGGCAUCUCUUCUAGGCGUGGACUGCCUCCAGCUUUGUUACGG